UGGGGAAUAUUGCGCAAUGGGGGAAACCCUGACGCAGCGACGCCGCGUGCGGGAUGACGGCCUUCGGGUUGUAAACCCCUUUUGAUUGGGAGCAAGCUUUCGGGUGAGUUUACCUUUUGAAUAAGCGCCGGCUCACUACGUGCCAGCAGCCCCGGUAAUACGUAGGGCGCAAGCGUUAUCCGGAAUUAUUGGGCGUAAAGAGCUUGUAGGCGGUUCGUCGCGUCUGGUGAGAAAGCCUCUCGCUUAACGGUGGGUUUGCGCCGGGUACGGACGGGCUAGAGUGCAGUAAGGGAGGCUGGAAGGCCCGGUGUAACGGUGGAAUGUGUAGAUAUCGGGAAGAACACCAAUGGCGAAGGAAGGUCUCUGGGCUGUUACUGACGGUGAAAAGCGAAAGCAUGGGGAGCGAACAGG
rnacentral:rRNA from 1 species